CACAAAAUGACUCUCGGCAACGGAUAUCUCGGCUCUUGCAUCGAUGAAGAACGUAGCGAAAUGCGAUACUUGGUGUGAAUUGCAGAAUCCCGUGAACCAUCGAGUCUUUGAACGCAAGUUGCGCCCGAAGCCGUGAGGCCGAGGGCACGCCUGCCUGGGUGUCACA
rnacentral:rRNA from 2 species